GAUGAACGCUGGCGGCGUGCCUAAUACAUGCAAGUCGAGCGAACAGACGAGGAUUUUGCUCCUCUGACGUUAGCGGCGGACGGGUGAGUAACACGUGGAUAACCUACCUAUAAGACUUGGAUAACUUCGGGAAACCGGAGCUAAUACCGGAUAAUAUAUUGAACCGCAUGGUUUUAUAGUGAAAGACGGUUUUUCUGUCACUUAUAGAUGGAUCCGCGCCGUAUUAGCUAGUUGGUAAGGUAACGGCUUACCAAGGCGACGAUGGGUAGCCGACCUGAGAGAGGGGUCGGCCGCACUGGAAGGGGACCGCGGACCAGAGUCCUACGAGAGGCAGCAGAAACGAAUCUGACGCAGCAGGGGAGAGUCUUGCGGAACGACGCCGAGUGUGUGAUGAAGGUGUUCGGAUCGUAAUAAUCUGUUACUAGUGAUGAACAAAUGUGUGAGUAGCUGAACACGUAUUGACGGUACCUGAUCAGGAAGCCACGGCUAACUACGUG
rnacentral:rRNA from 1 species